UACAGAGGGGGCAAGCGUUGUUCGGAAUUACUGGGCGUAAAGGGCGCGUAGGCGGCCUGCUAAGUCGAACGUGAAAUCCCUGGGCUCAACCCAGGAACUGCGUCCGAUACUGGUUGGCUUGAAUCCGGGAGAGGGGAGCAGAAUUCCCAGUGUAGCGGUGAAAUGCGUAGAUAUUGGGAGGAAUACCAGUGGCGAAGGCGGCUCCCUGGACCGGUACUGACGCUGAGGCGCGAAAGCGUGGGUAGCAAACAGG
rnacentral:rRNA from 1 species